AACGAACGCUGGCGGCGCGUCUUAACCAUGCAAGUCGAGCGGCAGGCAGCAAUGCCGAGAGCGGCGGACUGGUGAGUAACACGUGGAUAACGUACCCCGAUGUCCGGGACAGCCUGUAGAAAUAGAGGGUAAUACCGGAUAGAUCACUGUUUACGUGAGGUAGACAGCGGGAAAGGAGCUUCGGCUCCGCGACGGGAUCGGUCUGCGGCCCAUCAGCUAGACGGCGGGGUAAAGGCCCGCCGUGGCGAGGACGGGUAUCCGGCCUGAGAGGGCGGACGGACACAUUGGGACUGAGAUACGGCCCAGACUCCUACGGGAGGCAGCAGGUAAGAAUAUUCCGCAAUGGGGGGAACCCUGACGGAGCGACGCCGCGUGAACGAAGAAGGCCGGAAGGUUGUAAAGUUCUUUUCUGUCCGAGGAAUAAGUUUCGGAGGAAAUGCCGGGACGGUGACGGUAGGGCAGGAAUAAGCACCGGCUAAUUACGUGCCAGCAGCCGCGGUAACACGUAAGGUGCGAGCGUUGUUCGGAAUUAUUGGGCGUAAAGGGCAUGCAGGCGGGUCGCCAAGCUUGGUAAGAAAUACCGGGGCUCAACUCCGGAGCUAUAUUGAGAACUGGCGAGCUAGAGUUGCCGAAGGGUAUCCGGAAUUCCGCGUGAAGGGGUGAAAUCUGUAGAUAUGCGGAAGAACACCGAUGGCGAAGGCAGGAUACCGGCGGACGACUGACGCUGAGGUGCGAAGGUGCGGGGAGCAAACAGG
rnacentral:rRNA from 1 species